UGGGGAAUAUUGCGCAAUGGGGGAAACCCUGACGCAGCAACGCCGCGUGGGUGAAGAAGGCCUUCGGGUUGUAAAGCCCUUUCGGCCGGGAAGAAGGGUGUAGUGCCUAAUACGCGCUGCAUUUGAUGGUACCGGAAGAAGAAGCACCGGCAAACUUCGUGCCAGCAGCCGCGGUAAUACGAAGGGUGCAAGCGUUGUUCGGAAUUACUGGGCGUAAAGGGUUCGUAGGCGGGAACGCGUGUCGAAUGUGAAAACCCUGGGCUUAACCUGGGACGUGCAUUCGAAACUGUGUUUCUUGAGUUUUGGAGAGGGUGGUGGAAUUGCUGGUGUAGGAGUGACAUCCGUAGAGAUCAGCAGGAACGCCGGAGGCGAAAGCGACCGCCUGGCCAAGGACUGACGCUGAGGAACGAAAGCGUGGGGAGCAAACAGG
rnacentral:rRNA from 1 species